GACCCAGACAAACUCAAGAAACAGACAGAACUGCAUAAACAUACUCCAGUGACAAUCCUCCCUUUUGUUCCCAGAGUUUUUACAAGGUGAUUGCCUUUGGGUUAUUGCAGCGUCUAGACAGAGAGAAGAAGAGAACUCUUGGGAAUGUUCUUUGUAUCGCAGGCGUCAACAGCAGCGCAGCCAGAAGCUCGGACAGUAAUCGGGAGCUAUUUCUCAGAAUCGGCUAAUUACUCAGUGCCACUUGAACACACACAUCCACAGACAUGAAAGUGAUAACAUAAUGUGACUUCUAUUCCAAGCACAUACCAGAGGGCUUUACUUCUAGCUCUUCCAUCCCAUAUUACAUGUUCUUUUCUGGAAACUAUGCCUUUUGGACUGCAGCCUGGAAUUAAUUAGCUGCCUUAUUUGUAACACUAUAGAAGACCUAAUGUACAGGAUUGAAUUCUCAUUGACUUUUGGUUUAAAGGAAUCACACAGUGUUUAUUUUGAUUCUACUGUAACAUGUUCCUGAUUACUUUUAUUCAUUUGUAGUCGACAUUAUAUUCACUGGACACUUUUAGGUACACCUUGGCGGUAAGAGGGCACAUCCAAGAUGGGUUAGGGGUUACCCUAACCCUAACUCCCAAUUAAACCAUCACACCACAUUCUGAAUGUGCUCUGCUGGAUUGAGAUCUGUGACUGUGGAGGCGAUUUGAGUACAGUCGACUCAUUUUGAUGCUCAAAGCCCUAGUUUGAAACCAUCUGAUCAUUGUGACAUGGUAUGUUAUCCUUUUAGAAACAGCUGUCAGGAGGUGGGCUGAUUAUGGUGUUUAAAGGAUGUUCAACUGUUCCAAGAAAACAUCUCUCACAGCACCAGCAGACAGAGCUGUUGAUACACAGUAGAUCCAUGCUUUAAUGUCAUUGCUUCGAGGCUCAAUAUAUUUUGAACAAAUGGUUAUUUGAGUUACUGUUGCCAACGCAAAGCAGUCUGGCCUUUGACCUCCAGUGUAAACAGGAGAUUUUCACUCAGAGAACUUUCUCCUUUUCAGGUUAUUCUCUAAACCCCAGAGAUAGUCGUGCAGGAAAAUUCCAGCAGUUUCUGAAGUAAUCAGACUAGCCUGUCUGUCACCAACAACCAUGACACAUUCAAAGUAACUUAGAUCGCCUUUCUUUCCUAAAUCUGAUGCUCAGUUUGAAAUUCAGAGUAUUCGGAGUUCUGAGUAUUGGGUGCACUGGGCUUCUGAUGAUUUAAUGUAGUUUUUUUUGGUUGUUAAGAAAACAAACCUUUUAAGACUUGCAGAUAUAUUUUAUUCCGUUCCCAGCAGAAGUGAACUACUGUAAGCUGAUGAACACAUUUUUCUUUUUCUGUAUUUUUCUGCAUUUAAUUAAAUCUGUCACUGUGCUGAGAUUUAUGGAAAGUGCAGAGACUUAAGAAGUAGCUGUUAUGCAAUGUAAUGAUAUAGUCAUAACCUCUGAAAAUGUAAAAAAAAAACCCAGUUUGUUUAAAGGCAUUCUCAUUAAAACAACAGCGCUGUCUGGAACCUCUUCUCAAA